UUUUCUUUUUUUUGAGAAAAAGGUGGCACGCUGCCCAUUUCAUUCAUUGGAUCGAUGAAAUAGGCUACAAGGAUGAGGCAUUCUGGGCCUCGAGAGAAUCAAAACGAAGUCCGAAAAAAAAAUUAAACUAUUAAGGCCUAAGUAUAAAGCCCAAUCCAAUCAAAAAUAAAAGAUUACUCGACUCAACCCACCUUAGCUAGCCCAUUCAGCCAGAUUACAAACAAAAAAGAAAACAAAAAAAAAAAUCAAUCAUUAUCUUCCCUUCUCCCCUUACUCAAUCCACUGAAACCCUAGACGAAGAGCCUCUCGCUUUCCUCCUCCUGCGCGCCGCAACCGACGAGAUAGGAUUUCGACGGUUGCUAAAUACUUAAAUAAGUGUUGGUAAAUUAGCAGCAUUUUUUUUAGGUUAUACCGAUACUCUUAAACUGUCACUAUAUACCUAGCGACCCCACAUACAGCAAUAUUUUUUAAAAGCGUCGGUAACUUAGGCAGCAACACUUUUUUUGACAUGUAUCGACAUUUAAAAGUGUCGCUAUACACCUUUUUUGUUGUAGUGUAUUUAUGUCAAAAUAAAGUACAAAUACAACUUAAUCUUAAUUAUUAUCAUUUGAAUACAAGAUUAUUAUAUUAUAUUUGAUUGGAUUCUUACUAGAGAUGUCAACGGAUCGGAUUCGGGGCGGAUUUUCAAAAAUUCGAACCCGAACCCGACUCCAAACCCGAGACCCGAAUCCGAAUCCGAACCUGACGGAUUUUAAAAAUCCAUAUCCAAACCCGAACCCGACCAAAAAUCCGAAACCCGAACCCAAAUCCGAACCCGAAAAUUUGAACCGGAAACAAUUAACUUUUUUUUCAAUAUUUCAAAAUAUAUUAUAUUAAAUCUAAAUUUUUAAAAUACAAAUUCAAAUAUAACAUCAAAUUUUUAUAUAUAUAUUAUAUAUAAUAUAAAAUAAAUUCGGGUUCGGGUCGGGUUCGGGAUCGGGUCCGGUACAAUCAAAAUCUAUAUCCGAAUCCAUAUCCGUCAGAUUUUUAUUUUUGAUAUCCAUAUCCGAAUCCAUAUCCGUCAGAUUUUUAUUUUUGAUAUCCAUAUUCGAAUCUAUAUUUAUUUAGUAUCGAAUAUAUCCAUUUCAUUCGGGUUCGAACUCGGAUAAAAUUUCGGGUAUCCAUACUCAUUGACAUCCGUAAAUCUUACUGUCAUCUCUCAUCUCUCCAUAGACGUUU
rnacentral:lncRNA from 1 species